UAAAAAAUCAAUAAAAUAUAUUAAAAAAAAAAAAAAAGAAGAAGCAGAGUGACACAGCUGGUAGUAGGGGGCGAGUGGCUCCCCGGUGGGAACCCAGCCUUCCCUGCAGGCAGAGGGUAAGGGGCUGAUGGGUGGACCGCGGGGGUUCCCUCCGCCUGACCACAACCGGGGAGGGGCCGAGCCCAGAGACCUGUCUUGCUUCUCACAGGACACUCCUGGCGGGUCUGAACUGGGUCAGAUGCAUGAGCUGAGGGGCCCAGCGAGGGCCGGGCAGGUGGGGGAAGUCCCGACUGAGGGAAAUACACUUCGGUGCUGCUGAGCGUGGCCUCUGGAGCCUGCCUGCCAGACUUUGGACUCAGACACGGUGGCCUGUAAGAUGUGUGGCCUUGAGCCCACAUGGGGCCAGCAUGGGCCUUGGAGCAGCACCAAGGACCCACUCACCCUUCUGCCCCUGAGUCCGGACCGGAGUCGGCCUGGAAUCCAGGCCCACGUGGACGCCCCUCCCUAGCUUGCAGACUCAGAGUUGGGGGAGGCUGAGCAUGGCGCACUGUGCAGCCCCAGCUCCUGCUGACAGAGAAACUGCUCACAAUAAAAGGCUCCUGCUCCACUGGG